rnacentral:sRNA from 20 species
CUUGUAAAUACUAAAUCACACACGUGUCGACACAUUCUCCGGGGUGCCUCUAGAAGGUCGGAGAUAUGGGAUACGUGGAGGUCUAAC